rnacentral:rRNA from 1 species
GAUGAACGCUGGCGGCGUGCCUAAUACAUGCAAGUCGAGCGAACGGACGAGAAGCUUGCUUCUCUGAUGUUAGCGGCGGACGGGUGAGUAACACGUGGAUAACCUACCUAUAAGACUGGGAUAACUUCGGGAAACCGGAGCUAAUACCGGAUAAUAUUUUGAACCGCAUGGUUCAAAAGUGAAAGACGGUCUUGCUGUCACUUAUAGAUGGAUCCGCGCUGCAUUAGCUAGUUGGUAAGGUAACGGCUUACCAAGGCAACGAUGCAUAGCCGACCUGAGAGGGUGAUCGGCCACACUGGAACUGAGACACGGUCCAGACUCCUACGGGAGGCAGCAGUAGGGAAUCUUCCGCAAUGGGCGAAAGCCUGACGGAGCAACGCCGCGUGAGUGACGAAGGUCUUCGGAUCGUAAAACUCUGUUAUUAGGGAAGAACAAACGUGUAAGUAACUGUGCACGUCUUGACGGUACCUAAUCAGAAAGCCACGGCUAACUACGUGCCAGCAGCCGCGGUAAUACGUAGGUGGCAAGCGUUAUCCGGAAUUAUUGGGCGUAAAGCGCGCGUAGGCGGUUUUUUAAGUCUGAUGUGAAAGCCCACGGCUCAACCGUGGAGGGGCAUUGGAAACUGGAAAACUUGAGUGCAGAAGAGGAAAGUGGAAUUCCAUGUGUAGCGGUGAAAUGCGCAGAGAUAUGGAGGAACACCAGUGGCGAAGGCGACUUUCUGGUCUGUAACUGACGCUGAUGUGCGAAAGCGUGGGGAUCAAACAGGAUUAGAUACCCUGGUAGUCCACGCCGUAAACGAUGAGUGCUAAGUGUUAGGGGGUUUCCGCCCCUUAGUGCUGCAGCUAACGCAUUAAGCACUCCGCCUGGGGAGUACGACCGCAAGGUUGAAACUCAAAGGAAUUGACGGGGACCCGCACAAGCGGUGGAGCAUGUGGUUUAAUUCGAAGCAACGCGAAGAACCUUACCAAAUCUUGACAUCCUUUGACCCUUCUAGAGAUAGAAGUUUCCCCUUCGGGGGACAAAGUGACAGGUGGUGCAUGGUUGUCGUCAGCUCGUGUCGUGAGAUGUUGGGUUAAGUCCCGCAACGAGCGCAACCCUUAAGCUUAGUUGCCAUCAUUAAGUUGGGCACUCUAAGUUGACUGCCGGUGACAAACCGGAGGAAGGUGGGGAUGACGUCAAAUCAUCAUGCCCCUUAUGAUUUGGGCUACACACGUGCUACAAUGGACAAUACAAAGGGCAGCGAAACCGCGAGGUCAAGCAAAUCCCAUAAAGUUGUUCUCAGUUCGGAUUGUAGUCUGCAACUCGACUACAUGAAGCUGGAAUCGCUAGUAAUCGUAGAUCAGCAUGCUACGGUGAAUACGUUCCCGGGUCU